CCAAGGAUUCCCCUAGUAGCGGCGAGUGAAGAGGGAAGAGCCCAAGAUUGAAAGCUGGCGUCUUCGGCGUCCGCAUUGUAAUCUCAAGAAGUGUUUUCCGCUUCGGACCAUGCCUAAGUCCCUUGGAAAAGGGCAUCAUAGAGGGUGAUAAUCCCGUACAUGGCAUGGAGCGCCCGAGGCUUUGCGAUACGCUUUCUAAGAGUCGAGUUGUUUGGGAAUGCAGCUCAAAAUGGGUGGUAAAUGCCAUCUAAGGCUAAAUAUUGGGGAGAGACCGAUAGCGAACAAGUACAGUGAUGGAAAGAUGAAAAGAACUUUGAAAAGAGAGUUAAACAGUACGUGAAAUUGCCAAAAGGGAAGGGUAGGAGGUCAGAGAUGCGUCUUGGGAUUCAGCCUUGCAUUUUGUUUGGUGUUUUUCCCAAGUUUGCAGGCCAACGUCGGUUUUGGGCACUGGAGAAGGGUGGAAGGAAUGUGGCACCUCUCGGGGUGUGUUAUAGCCUUCUACUGGAUACAGCGACCGAGACCGAGGACAGCAGCGUACUCGCAAGAGCGGGCCUUCCGGCACCYUUACGCUUACGGCGUUGGCAUAAUGGCCCUCUACCACCCGUCUUGAAACAC
rnacentral:rRNA from 1 species